rnacentral:tRNA from 1 species
UCCCUGGUGUCUCAGAUGGUAAAGAAUCUGCCUGCAAUGCAGGAGACCUGGGUUUGAUCCCUGGGUAGGGAA